rnacentral:rRNA from 1 species
UUAGGAAUCUUCCACAAUGGGCGAAAGCCUGAUGGAGCGACGCCGCGUGAGGGAUGAAGGCCUUAGGGUUGUAAACCUCUAAAAGAGGGACGAUAAUGACGGUACCUCUUGAAUAGCACCGGCUAACUCCGUGCCAGCAGCCGCGGUAAUACGGAGGGUGCAAGCGUUAUCCGGAAUCACUGGGCGUAAAGGGCGCGUAGGCGGUCUGUUAAGUCCGAUGUUAAAUCCCGGGGCUCAACCCCGGAUAAGCGUUGGAUACUGGCAGGCUAGACGGUUGGAGAGGCGAGUGGAAUUACCAGUGUAGCGGUGGAAUGCGUAGAUACUGGUAGGAACACCCAUUGCGAAGGCAGCUCGCUGGACAACACGUGACGCUGAGGCGCGAAAGUGCGGGGAGCAAACC